rnacentral:rRNA from 1 species
GGGGAAUCUUCCGCAAUGGACGAAAGUCUGACGGAGCAACGCCGCGUGUAUGAAGAAGGUCUUCGGAUUGUAAAGUACUGUCUUUGGGGAAGAAUAAACUAUACGUGAAUAAUGUAUAGAGAUGACGGUACCCAAGGAGGAAGCCCCGGCUAACUACGUGCCAGCAGCCGCGGUAAUACGUAGGGGGCGAGCGUUGUCCGGAAUUAUUGGGCGUAAAGGGCGAGUAGGCGGAUACUUAAGUCUUGUGUGAAAACUGGGGGCUUAACCCCCAGAUUGCAUAGGAAACUGGGUAUCUUGAGGACAGGAGAGGAAAGUGGAAUUCCUAGUGUAGCGGUGAAAUGCGUAGAUAUUAGGAGGAACACCAGUGGCGAAGGCGACUUUCUGGACUGUAACUGACGCUGAGGCGCGAAAGCGUGGGGAGCAAAC